GAAGCAAGAUGGCGGCCGCCGAGAGGGUUCACAAAGGCUCUGGUCCAUUAGAGGAAGGAGGUCCCAGAAUAGCUGGGAAAUUACGAGAACAGCCUCACUGCACGAGUUGGUGAAUGCUGUGAUGGCGAUUGUAUGAUGGACGGUGAUGUUGAAACCAGACUGGGGAAUGACCGCCCCAUCCGGAGAGAAAAGCACCAAGGAUUCUCUUUUGUUGAAUUUGAGUUGGCAGAGUUUGGUCAGAUGAAGACUGGGUGGAGAAGUUUGCUGGGAAGAGGAUAAAGAGGAAGGUGGUUGAGACUUCCCAAAGCAGAAAGCCAGGAGCGCAGCCCAUUUACUGCCUUCUCCAGGAAGCUUUUCUGAAUCCUCCAGUGAGUAAGGGAGAGCCCACUGCUAAAAAAGGCCUAGUCAAAUCCUCAGGUGUACAUGGACAUCAAGAUUGGGAACAAGCCGGCUGGCUGCAUCCAAACCCUCCUGCGUUCCGACGUCGUGCCCAUGACCACAGAGAAUUUUCUCUACAUGUGCACCCAUUUAAAGGACUCGGCUUCAAGGGAAGCAGCUUCCACCGCAUUAUCCCCCAGUUCAUUUGCCAGGGCAGUGAUUUCACAAACCACGGUGGCACCAGGGGUCUGCGCAGGCAUGGCACUAAGUGUCCCAUGGCACAUUUGGCCCUCAUGGAGGCCUCAAAAGGGCAGGACCAGCACCCUCUUCUACGGAGGAAGGAACGGGCACAGCAGGUACAUGAUGUGGUCAAAUUAACAAGAGGCAGAGGCCGGAAACAAGGAGAGUCAGCAAUUACCAGCCAGCCAAGGUCCUGGAAGCUGACGUAGAGCUCGUGCCGACGGCAGACCUGCCGGCCGUGGGAGCCGCGGACGUCAUCUGCAGGGACAGAAGGGGCAAGGUCUUUUCUGGGGUUCCUGCUGUGUGCAGCUACUAUGGGGUACCAGGGUGGGGGAUGCCCUGAUGAGCACAUUUGUCAAAUAAAUGAAUGACAGGAAACCA
ensembl:lncRNA PPIEL peptidylprolyl isomerase E like (pseudogene)